GUGGCGUAUCUGAGCAGCAAGGUCCAAGCGGUACUACCAGGGGUAGGUACUCGAGGAGGGCCGUUUUGAGAAGACAAAGGGGCAGCCUCCUCCGGGCCUUCUUGCUAAAACGCCGGAAGAUUGCUGAUUAAUUGUUCUCAGAGGAACAUCGUGAGCCAUGAGUCAGCAAAUUGCAUUGAAGACGGCAGACAGAUGGUCCUCUCGGGGUGGAAUUGUCAAAGCCUCCAGGACAGCUCAGACUUGAGGCAGGCAACCCCCUCCUGGCACCCCAUGUUAUUCAUCAUUUUUUUUUAAAAAAACAACACUGUUUGACAUCA